UUUAAGUUAGUUUAUUUGCUAAGGAUUAGGGUAGUGAAUACGAAUCUAAUCACUUGAAUCGGUAACCAACGAAAGAAUUAAUCCAUUGCACCAUUACCUUGAAAUCAACCAUAGAGUCAACCAAGUUGAACUAAACAGAAGUUCCUUUCCAAUUAUUGAAUCUAGUUAAGUCUUUAUUUUCUAGUUCUUAAAUUAGUAAUAGUUAGUAAGUUUCUAGUCUUGUAAAACUAGAGAAAACCCCUACUUAUUAAUUAACUUAGAUAAAAUUAGUUUUUAAUUUUAAUUUGCCGUUCCCUGUGAUCGAUACCCUGCUUAUUUAGCUAUACCACAAUUGAUAGGUUCACUGCCUUUUGUGUGUUAUUUGAUAAUUAAAAGUAGGUUUAAAACUAAGUGAGUUUGUACACUUCAAGUUUUUGGCGCCCUUGCCGGGGAACGGUUCUAAAAUUAAUAUUAAAUUCUAGUCUAAUCGAUCCUUUGUGUGCGAUUUAUCUUACACAAAGUUAUUUACAAAGUAAUUCAGUAAGUAGAAUUAGUUUCAAUAAAAUUCUGUUUUUAGGAUAACUAGAAUUUUUUUUCAGUUUUUGCCUUGAACUCGCCGAGUGCAUUCGAGUAGACUCGGCGAGUCCAACGCUUUUUUCAGCUUUAUUUUAUUAUUUCGCUUUUGUUCUUUUUACGCGUUUUGUUUCUUUUGUUUUGUUUGUUUACAGUUGUUUCAUGACCCGAGGAUCUGAUACACCUCUGGCCCCUCCUUUAGAAGACCCGGAAUCCGCACUAAGAAGGAGAAAAGGAAAAGUCGUUGGAGAAACCACAUCUUCAAAGAACUCACCACUCAAAAACUUAAAGUCCGUUUUCAGUACGAAGAAGAGCAGCAAAUCAGGAGCAUCCAAUGCCUCAUUGACAAUUGAAGAACCAAUUCAAGAAGAUAUCGAGUACGAGACCGAGGAAGAAGAAGAGCAUACUUACGAGCACGAAACCGAUUCCGAAGAAGAGUUAGCUAUCACAAUGGCUAACAUUGAUGAAGUCCCCAUGGGGGAAUGGAAGAAAAGGAUGCGUGAUGACACCGGGCCGGGACUUGUGCAACCCGCAAUUCCCGCGACCGCUACUUUCGAACUAAAAGGCCAUAUUCUCGCCCAACUCAAGGAGAUUCCUUUUUACGGGAAGGAUCACGAAGACGCUUACAAGCACUUGGACGAAGUGAAUGAUGUGGCCGAUUACUUCAACGUACCGAAUGUUCCACGCGAGACCCAGCUUCUUCGCAUGCUUCCUGUCACAUUUAAAGGAGCUGCAAAAGAUUGGUUAAAGUCACUUCCUCCCGGAUCGGUCACCACAUGGGCCAAGAUGAAAGAAGAGUUCAUAGACCAUUUCUGCCCGCCCUCCAAGAUAGCCAAGCUAAAGAAAGCCAUUGCCAACUUCGAGCAACAACCCGGAGAAUCUCUUUAUGAAGCUUGGGAAAGGUACAAGAGCCUACUUAGAAAUUGCCCACACCAUGACCUUAAUAGCCAACAAGAGGUCUCCAUCUUCUAUGAUGGAGUAAAUGUCACCACAAGGCAAUUGCUUAAUUCUCAAGGCCCGUUCACAAAGAAGGCGCCCCCGGUAAUUAAAGAAUUAAUUGAAGAAUUCUCUAAGCACUCUAGAGAAUACCACAAUCCGACAAACGAAGUAAGUCGGGGGGUAGUGAACGCGGCAAAUGAUAGCAUGGCGGCGGUGAUAGCUAAGCUUGAUAGUCUAGAUCGAAGAAUGACAAAAAUGGAUCAAACAAUCCAUGCUAUUAUGGUAGGAUGCGAAAAUUGUAAAGGGCCCCAUCUCACAAAGGAUUGUGAUUUGGAUGAGAAUGGAAAUAAGAGAGCUCAAGUCUUCUAUUCAAGUGGCGAUCGAUAUGAUGAAAAUUGGCGGAAACCUAAGAAGGAAUGGCUACCAUACGAAGAGUAUAAGAAGGCAAAGGAGGAGAAAUACAAGCAGAAGGAGAGGGGACUAUACCAAAAGGAAGAACCGGUAGAAAAGAAAGCCAAUUUAGAAGAGUUAUUCACUAGAUUCAUAGCCGCAUCCGAAAAAAGACACAGUGAUCACGAUGCUGCCAUACACGAGACCAAAAACAUGCUAAGGAAUCAGCAAGCAUCAAUUCUCAAAAUUGAGAAACAGCUGGGGCAGCUUGCGCAUCAAGUGAAUGAUAGAAGACCGGGUCAACUUCCGAGUAACACCGAACCCAAUCCAAGAAUGGAGAAUGUAAGUGUAAUAACAUCCAGCAGUGAAGAAACACAUACAGAAGCACUGAGAAUCUCCAAGAAGAAGGCAGAAAAGGUAGAAAAAUCGGACCCAACAAAACCCGAUCUGACUCGCCGAGUCACUCCAUUGGACUCGAUGAGUCCAUGCAUAAAUGAUAAAACUGUCAGUUCUUUGAAGCCUUAUAAUCCUCCUCUGUCAUAUCCAAUCAAAGCCAUCCCUGUAGAAAAAGUAGAAGCAUACAGAACCUUCAUGAAGCAUGUUAAUGCUUUACAAGUUAAUGUGCCAUUUGUGGAAACAAUGCUCCAAACACCUAAGUACUUCAACUUGAUUAAGGGCCUUUUUGCUGCUAGGAAAGAUUUGGCUGAAGUCGCGGAAAUAUUGAUGAGUGAGCUACCUGAAAAGAAGGGUGAUCCGGGAAAUAUUGUGAUUCCGUGCCAAUUCGGUAAUGAAGUUUUCACCCGAGCAUUAGCUGAUUCGGGGGUAAGCAUCAAUCUGAUGCCUUUUUCAUUCUUUAAGAAGUUGAAAUUACCAGAACCAAGGCUGGUGAAUAUGAAGAUCCAUUUGGCGGACAAGAAGAUAAUUCAUCCACAAGGCGUUUGNUCCUUAUAAAAGUUGACAAGUUUAUUUUCCCAGUAGACUUCGUGGUAGUUGAUAUGGAAGAAGACCCCGAAAUUCCAAUUAUUUUGGGGAGAUCAUUCUUGAACACCGCGUGUGCUUUAAUUGAUAUAUGUGAGUCUACAUUGACAUUAAGAGUGGGAGAUGAGUCUGUAAUGUUUAAAGCUAUUCCAGAAGCCAAGCAAGAAGAAGAAAAGAAUGAAGAAAUCUCAUUUAUCCAUUUGGAUGAUGAGAUGUUACAAAAAGAUCUUGAACUUUUGCUAAAAGAAGAUCCAAGCAAGUUUUUGAUACACUCUGAAGAAGAUGAAGAUGUUAACAAGGACUUGGAGGAGUUAGAAAAGCUACUGGAAGGAGCCAACUCAGAAAACACCCAAGAAUUGAUGGAACCCGAUCAGACUCGUCGAGUCACUUUAAUGGACUCGAUGAGUCCAGUCGAAUUUAACAAAGACUUGGCCGACUUAGAUCUGUUUGUUACUAGUUCUUCACAUACCUUGGAUUUAGAUAUUAUUCAUGACUCUUUAGAAGAACAAACAGCAGACGGAGGAAUGGGAAUGAAAGUUCAAUACACCGAUGUAGCAUGUCUUGAUUCGAUUCCGUUUGAAGAUGGGUUGAGCAUAGGAGGGGAUGAAGAGACAAAGGAAAGGAGGGUGGAAGCUGAUCAACCAUUCACUACUAAACCUAAAGCACGAACCAUCACGAAAUAUGACGUAAUUAAAUUUAAAGAGAAGGAGGUGCAAGAGAAAGUGAAAAAGAAUGGGGUAAAGAAGAAAAAGAGGAAAAGGGAAGCCCAAGCAGCUGAGGGUGAUGCUGUGAAAAAGAAAAGAGAUGCAUUGAAAAGGGCUUACAAGAAAAAGAUUCAUGCUUACAAGACCAAGCACAAACCACAAAAAGUUAGGCGUGCAUUCCCGAUGCUGGAAGAUGACGAAACGUAGAUAGGAAGGAGUCCAGCUAACGACUCCUUAAAAAGAAGCGCUUGGUGGGAGGCAACCCGUAUUUAGAGUUUGCUUUCUUUUACUUUUUAGUUUUCUUUGAAAAUUUUUUCGUUUUUAGAUUGUUAAUUCUUUAAUUCGAUGGACAUGUCUGCUUGAGAGUGUGCAUGGGCUAAGUGUGGGGUGAAAUGAUUUUUUAGAUAAAUGAAAAUUUUUAUGGACUUUUGCAAAAGACUCGCCGAGUCUUACCACGACUCGACGAGUAGAUAUGGAUUUCAGAAAAAGUUUGACAUCGCGAGCAGACUCACCGAGUCUAACCCCAACUCGACGAGUCGGUAUUAUUUACAAAAAAAAUAAUUUUGAAAUUACUUUUACAACCGGUAACUAGGGUUUUAACCCUAAUGAAUCAGUUUUCUUUUCACAUACACACUCGUCAUGCGCCUCUCUCUCAACUUUCUCUCAAGCAUUCAAAGUGUUCUUCAAUUUUUCUUCAAAUUUCUCAAGUACCAUCUCAAAAGGUAAUGAAUUUCUUCUUGUUUUCUGUUAAGAAUAUGAUUAUAAGGCUAUCUAGGAUAGAAAUUGCAUGAAAAAAACUCGUUUUUGAAAAGUAGUAAAUUUCUAGCGUUUUGAUUUUUCAUGAAUUAUGUUGUUUUGAAUGCUUAUUCUGGCCUUAAUACCAUAAUAAUGUGUGCCUAGACAAAACCCUUGACGAAAUUUCCAGGUUCCAUGGUCCAAUUUCCAUCGACCCGCCGACUGACUCCUGCAGUUCGUGCGACUCGCCGAGUCGUACAUGGACUCGACGAGUUGAGUCGGGAAACAUAUGCGAGACGUUUUUUUAAUUAUAUUCUGUGUUUCUGGGUUUUGUGUCUUUGUUUUGCAGAAAUCAUGUUCAGAAGGGGGCAAAGUUCCAGUGGCCACCAAGGGGACUUUCCUUGGUUGAAUUUUCCACAAAUAGAGUCCGCUUCAACAUUGCAGAAGUGGUAGAAGAUGUUGGCGGACAUAAAGAAGAAGGAGAUCUAUGUGCCCAACCGGAUAGAUUGGGAUUGGCUGCAAAGUGUUCGCUAUGAGGAGGAGUUACCUCCUUAUCUUGUAAAGGAGUUUCACCAUGAAGGCGAAACAAUGAUUUGCGACGGGUGGAGCCGUGUCUUCCGUAUUCAAGAGGCGGUUUAUUUGGAGCUGUGUUUGGAGUUCUUCUCCAUGAUAUCUUUCACCGAGGGAGUGGAUGUUUAUCACCCGUCAAGCUUUAGUUUCUGCCUGGGAGGAGAAUUUUGUCAAUGCUCUGUGAUGGAUCUUGCCUGUCGAUUAGGGGUUUAUGAUCAGCCCUUGGUCUCAACACCCAUCUUUCGGGCCUUUUUGGCACAAACCCAUAUGGUGUUUCCCGAAGGAGUUACGAGCACGGGCUGGUGGAAUACAAUUGGUAACAAGGUCUAUAUUCUGAAGUCGGCACAGGAAGGGAGCAUUCGAUCCCCAACACACCGCCUCAUUCAUCGUCUCAUUUCAUCCACCAUCAACCAAAGGAAAGAUGAUGACAAGGUUUCUAACCUUGAUGUCUUCUAUUUAUGGAGCAUUAUUACACCCGGCGUUUUUUGCAAUAUUCCUUGGUGUCUAGCUUCAUAUCUCUCGGAGGGUGCGGUCAAGGAUCGCAAAACUUCUCGAAUCAACGGUGGGAUGUUUGUCACCCGGUUAGCCAACUCAUUCGGGUUGAUGAACCGCAAUGCAUGGAACUUCAUGAAGAUGAUCCCUACACCUCCAUUUAAUCCAAUUCAUUUUCGGAGAGCGAGGAUUAUUGAAGAUUAUGUUGGUGGCCAUUACGCCAUUCCGAAUGAUGAUCCGGUUGUUGGUCCCGAAGCACCGGGGAGGAGGGUUAGAUCGAGGAGAGAGCGGGAUGUGGAGGAAGAGCCUCCGGUGAUUCCGGUUGACAACGAAGAAGUACCAAUGGAUUGGUACAAUGUGGAGAUGAGGCGGCUACAAGAUCAAAUGGCGCGGGGCUUGAAUUUUAGCAACCAAUCAUAUAUCCGACUUUUCGACCACUUUAACAUUCCACACAUCGAUGGUGGUAACUUUCCAUAUAUUCCAUCAUGGGAAGAGGUGAUAAGUGCAAGAAGAAGUGGUACGGGAGGAAGUGGAGCAGGGCUAGAUGAUCUUGAUUAUGAGGAGGAUUGAGUUCUUUGCAUUUUUAUUAUACAAUUUUCAAUCUUUUUAUUUUUUUGUGUUUGUUUUUAUUUUGUUUGUUUAAAUGUUUUUAAAACUUGCUUUUGAUGUUUAUUUGAUGUUUGAAUGCUUUGUCAAUUUUUCAGAAUUGAAUGAGGAGUGCUAGCUUCAAAAGGGUUUAGAAUCAUACAAUCAAAGUGAGAAAGAGAGUCAAGAAAGAGGGAGCAUUAGAGUUAAAGUAUUGAGUCCGGUCCUUAGAGAUGUUGGCAAGGGAGUCUAGAAGUGAAUAGAAAGUAUAGAGAGUUUAUUGGAAGCUGGAUCAGAUGUAGAAUGCUAAUAUUUUCAUUCAGUGACCAACUCGUCGAGUGCAUUAAACUCACUCGACGAGUCGCCCUUAAUUCUCAAAAAUCCGAAGAUUUCCCGAAGUAACUCGACGAGUCUGGUAUAUACUCGACGAGUCGUUUGGUUUCAUGUCAAAGGGGCUGCUAAUUUGAUGCUGAUUAGAGUACCACUUGACUAUCUAUUCUUUCCAUAUUAAUUUUUGAAGAUCUUAUACUGUUUUCCGCAUAUUUGGAGCUACCCACACGAGAAUUGACACCCAAGGCAUGGAUGAGCUGUUCCCAUGUCUAAAGUCAAUUGAAUUGGAGCUGAAAAGGAAGUGAUCAAUCUAUCGACUGCUAUCCCAGGGGAGUUUGUUCCAAUUCCCUUUUUAUUUUUAAGUUUUUAUCAUGCAUAAUAUACAAUGAGGGCAUUGCAUAAAAUAAGUGUGGGGUAGGGGGUUGGUCACAUAAAUAGAAAACUUAGAAUCUUAAUUUAGGCUAAUUUUAAAAAAAAAUUGCAUACCAAAAAUAUUACUUAUGAUUUAAUAUAGAAAAUUUUGGUAAAAAAAUGAUAAUUAUGAUUCCAUGUUAGAAUUGUGUUGAUAAUUGCAUGAAGACCCAUUAGUUGAGCNUUGAGCCUAUAUACGUUCUAGUGCAUUUGUGGCUUCCUUAUUCCAGUGAAAUCAUGGGACAAAAACACGACCCCGCUCAGCCCGAGGGAUGCAAUAUGUUUAGCAGCCUAAACCUGAAAUGUAUCAAGGAAGAUUGUUAUUGUUAGCCAAUAAAGGUUGAGAUUGAGCGCCCCUGCUUAAGCAUGUAGGGAUUUGAGUGAAAAAAAUGUGAGUUACAUGUAAAAAAAAAAAAGAGAAUUACAAGAGAAAUUGUAAGAAUUUUGGAGCAAAUAAAGUAAAGAUCAAAAGAUCAAAAUUCUGAAGAAAUCCAAAAAGUUGAAGAUACCGAAAAUCAAAUCAACAAAGGUGGUGAAUUCAAAGAGAUCAAAGAUCAAAUUAUUAAAGGAAGUGAAGAAUUCCAAAACAGGUCCAUAGUGGUAUCGAAAAGUUGUAAUUCUAGAUUAUGUAUGCUUGGGUUGCUCAAUUAAAAACACCUUGAGGGUAAGAGGUUUUCUGCGGAUGGAUUCGGAGGGUUGCAUAAAAUGAGCAUAGUUCGGGGUGAGUGGGCGAGUGUUUAUGAGGAUUGUGAGUAUUUGGAGUAUGGGAGGUCCUUAGGAAAAAUUUUAGACACAAAUGCAUGCGUUGCGGUCUUGGCAUAAUGGUUGGGUUAGAUUGGAGUUGUCAUAUGUGAUUCUAAUGUUUUAAAAUUUAGUUUUGCUUGGGGGCAAGCAAAAGUCAAGUGUGGGGUAUUUUGAUAUGUGCAUAUUUAGUUCAUAUUAAGUAUAGAUUUUUAUUCAUUUAUUAGCUAAAUUAUUGCAUUUUAUGGACAAAAGGUACUUAAAAGUGUUUGAAUUAUAUUUUCAGUCCAAAAAUGAAGCUCGGAAGCAGAAGGAAGCAGGAGAAGCGGUUGAGAGAUCAAGAAUGGAAUAAAGAAGAAAAACACCAAAAAUAACACCUACUCGGCGAGUAGGGUCGACUACUCGGCGAGUCCGAUCGAAGAAUCGAGAAGAUAAUGACUCGGGAUCCCAGAGACUUAUCACAAUACGGGGACUGAGAGAUGGACUCGACGAGUCGCCACCUGACUCGACGAGUCGAUUCGUAUAUAUAGAGAUAACUCCUCAGAACGAUAGAGGAGAAUUCUGGAACGAUUCAGAAGAGUUUAGCUGCGAUUGAGAAGGCAGAAAAACCCUAGAAGACGACGAAAGAAGCUAGAAUUCAAUCCCGGAGAGUAAUUGAGGCAAAAUUUCAUCAUUCCACUUAUUCUUUUGUUUUAUCAUUAUGGUUAAGCAAUUUGACUUUGUUUGUUUGCUGUUAUUUACUUCAAUUAUGAGCUAAAACCUUUAGACUUCUGUUUGGGGAUACAAAGUUGACAAUAUGGUUUGAUUGAUUGGUAGGAUUAAUUUUAAGUUGGUGAAUUUUUGUUAUUUUAGCUUGCUAAAGAACCUUGUGUGUGAAUAAUAAUUAAUUUUCUGUUAAUAGGAAGAUAAUUGAUUAGCAUGAACAUCUAUUGAUUAUUAACCUCAUAUGCUAUGUGAUCACUAUGCUAUAUGUCUAGGAUUAAUGAAUAUGAAACUAGAAUUAAUAAGAAAAUUGAGUAAAUCCAUGUGCAAGCUUGUAAGAUGACCAUCAAACAAGAAGUUAAUUAAAAGAAUAAAUUAGUUAACUAUUGCAAGUCUAACUUAACCCGAAUAAUUAAUCUAGUGAAUUUAAUUAAAUUAGACAAUUGGCCACUGUUUAAGUUAGUUUAUUUACUAAGGAUUAGGGUAGUGAAUACGAAUCUAAUCACUUGAAUCGGUAACCAACGAAAGAAUUAAUCCAUUUCACCAUUACCUUGAAAUGAACCAUAGAGUCAACCGAGUUGAACUAAACAGAAGUUCCUUUCUAAUUAUUGAAUUUAGUUAAGUCUUUAUUUUCUAGUUCUUAAAUUAGUAAUAGUUAGUAAGUUUCUAGUCUUGUAAAACUAGAGAAAACCCCUACUUAUUAAU
rnacentral:lncRNA from 1 species